AUAUGAAUCACCUGGGCAUUUUGUUAAAAGGCAAAUUCUGACUCAGCAGCCCUGUGACUGGGCCUGAGAUCUUGCAUUGCUAACAAGUUCUCAAGUGAUGCUAAU
rnacentral:pre_miRNA from 1 species